CCCUCAGUCCCAAAAUUCUUGUCUUAAAUUUAUCUAAAAAUGGAUGUAUCUUGAUACUAAAACGUGACUAGAUACAUUCAUAUAUAGACAAAUUUAAGACAAGAAUAUUGGGACAGAGGGAGUACUAU
rnacentral:pre_miRNA from 1 species